rnacentral:rRNA from 1 species
UACGGAGGUGGCAAGCGUUGUCCGGAAUUAUUGGGCGUAAAGCGCGCGCAGGUGGUUCUUUAAGUCUGAUGUGAAAGCCCCCGGCUCAACCGGGGAGGGUCAUUGGAAACUGGGGAACUUGAGUGUAGAAGAGGAUAGUGGAAUUCCAAGUGUAGCGGUGAAAUGCGUAGAGAUUUGGAGGAACACCAGUGGCGAAGGCGACUAUCUGGUCUGUAACUGACACUGAGGCGCGAAAGCGUGGGGAGCAAACAGG